AAAACGUAGGGGGCGAGCGUUAUCCGGAUUUACUGGGCGUAAAGCGCACGUAGGCGGCGCUGAAAGUUGGACGUGAAAGCUCCCGGCUUAACUGGGAGAGGUCGUUCAAAACUUCAGUGCUCGAGGUUGGAAGAGGAGAGUGGAAUUCCCGGUGUAGUGGUGGAAUACGUAGAUAUCGGGAGGAACACCAGUGGCGAAGGCGGCUCUCUGGUCCACACCUGACGCUGAGGUGCGAAAGCGUGGGGAGCGAACGGGAUUAGAUACCCCGGUAGUCCACGCCGUAAACGAUGGAUACUAGGUGUAGGGGGUCAUUUAACCCCUCUGUGCCGAAGCUAACGCGUUAAGUAUCCCGCCUGGGGACUACGGCCGCAAGGCU
rnacentral:rRNA from 1 species